rnacentral:rRNA from 1 species
GAUGAACGCUGGCGGCGUGCUUAACACAUGCAAGUCGAACGGGAAUUAUUUUAUUGAAACUUCGGUCGAUUUAAUUUAAUUCUAGUGGCGGACGGGUGAGUAACGCGUGGGUAACCUGCCUUAUACAGGGGGAUAACAGUCAGAAAUGGCUGCUAAUACCGCAUAAGCGCACAGAGCUGCAUGGCUCAGUGUGAAAAACUCCGGUGGUAUAAGAUGGACCCGCGUUGGAUUAGCUUGUUGGCAGGGUAACGGCCUACCAAGGCGACGAUCCAUAGCCGGCCUGAGAGGGUGAACGGCCACAUUGGGACUGAGACACGGCCCAGACUCCUUCGGGAGGCAGCAGUGGGGAAUAUUGCACAAUGGGGGAAACCCUGAUGCAGCGACGCCGCGUGAAGGAAGAAGUAUCUCGGUAUGUAAACUUCUAUCAGCAGGGAAGAUAGUGACGGUACCUGACUAAGAAGCCCCGGCUAACUACGUG